rnacentral:snRNA from 1 species
AUACUUACCUGGCGCAGGACUUUACCUUGAUCUUCAAGGAGGUAGUCCCAGGGCGAGACCUUAGCAUUGCACUACGCUAGGGUUGACCCUUGCGAUUGCCCCAAAUGUGGGUAACUCGGGCGCGUAAUUUUUGUUAGUGGGGGCUGCGUUCGCGCUAUCCCUAC